GGUUAAGCGACUAAGCGUACACGGUGGAUGCCCUGGCAGUCAGAGGCGAUGAAGGGCGUGCUAAUCUGCGAUAAGCGCCGGUAAGGUGAUAUGAACCGUUAUAACCGGCGAUACCCGAAUGGGGAAACCCAGUGUGACUCGUCACACUAUCAUUAACUGAAUCCAUAGGUUAAUGAGGCGAACCGGGGGAACUGAAACAUCUAAGUACCCCGAGGAAAAGAAAUCAACCGAGAUUCCCCCAGUAGCGGCGAGCGAACGGGGAGGAGCCCAGAGCCUGAAUCAGCAUGUGUGUUAGUGGAAGCGUCUGGAAAGGCGCGCGAUACAGGGUGACAGCCCCGUACACAAAAGCGCAUGUGCUGUGAGCUCGAUGAGUAGGGCGGGACACGUGGUAUCCUGUCUGAAUAUGGGGGGACCAUCCUCCAAGGCUAAAUACUCCUGACUGACCGAUAGUGAACCAGUACCGUGAGGGAAAGGCGAAAAGAACCCCGGCGAGGGGAGUGAAAAAGAACCUGAAACCGUGUACGUACAAGCAGUGGGAGCACCCUUUGGGGUGUGACUGCGUACCUUUUGUAUAAUGGGUCAGCGACUUAUAUUCUGUAGCAAGGUUAACCGAAUAGGGGAGC
rnacentral:rRNA from 1 species